AUUGAACGCUGGCGGCAGGCCUAACACAUGCAAGUCGAACGAAUGGCGGACGGGUGAGUAGUUUCUUGGAACCUGCCCGAUCGAGGGGUAUAACUACUGGAACCGGUAGCUAAUACCGCAUACCCUCGUAUGUGCCCAGAUGGGAUUAGCUAGUUGGUGGGGUAACGGCUCCCCUAGGCGACGAUCCCUAGCUGGUCUGAGAGGGUGACCAGCCACACUGGAACUGAGACACGGCCCAGACUCCUACGGGAGGCAGCAGUGGGGAAUAUUCGACAAUGGGCGAAAGUCUGAUGCAGCCAUGCCGCGUGAGUGAAGAAGGCUUUCGGAUUGUAAAGCUCUGUUAUCGGGGAAGCGGUAUCCGCAGAAGAAGCACCGGCUAACUACGUGCCAGCAGCCGCGGUAAUAC
rnacentral:rRNA from 1 species